AGGGAGAAUCCGGCGUCGGAGCUUCCGGUCCCAGAGGUCCCCGUGGAAUUCCUGGCCCUCGGGGUGACGAGGGCAUCGUGGGACUCCGUGGUCCCGUGGGAAUGAUGGGUCUCAAAGGAUUCCCGGGAUCCAAAGGGGAAAGAGGCGAUCGGGGACUUCCGGGACCCAAAGGACAAAGAGGGGACCCCACGACUAUUUUUGGCCCCCAGGGCUACAGAGGCAGCAAAGGAGAUCCCG